rnacentral:rRNA from 1 species
AUGGCUCAGGAUGAACGCUGGCGGCGUGCCUAAUACAUGCAAGUCGAACGAGGGUGCUUGCACCCUAGUGGCGAACGGGUGAGUAACACGUAGGUAACCUGCCCUUAAGCUUGGGAUACCCAGAGGAAACUUUGGCUAAUACCGGAUAACAACAGAAGAGGCAUCUCUUCAGUUUGAAAGGCCCUUUACGGGGUCACUUAAGGAUGGACCUGCGGCGCAUUAGCUAGUUGGUGAGAUAACAGCCCACCAAGGCGAGGAUGCGUAGCCGACCUGAGAGGGUGAUCGGCCACAUUGGAACUGAGACACGGUCCAAACUCCUACGGGAGGCAGCAGUAAGGAGUUUUCGGCAAUGGGGGAAACCCUGACCGAGCAACGCCGCGUGAGUGAAUGACGGCCCUAUGGGUUGUAAAGCUCUGUUGUAAGGGACGAAUGAUUCGCUUAGGAAAUGAAGCGGAUUUGACGGUACCUUACCAGAAAGCCACGGCUAACUACGUGCCAGCCGCCGC